AUUCAGUUGAUGAGUCCUAAAUAGGACGAAAUGCUCAUUCUGGAU
rnacentral:hammerhead_ribozyme from 1 species